UGCAUAUAAUGCGUAAUUAACGCGAUCUAUUGAAACUGUCUUUUUUUCUUUUGAAGUCAAAUGUUGUUGAUAAAUUUCUUAAAUGAUAUGUGACAAUUGUUUUUUUAAAACUGGAAAUUAAAAUAAAGAUAAUUAUGAUACAUGAGUUUCUUUUCUUGAAUUCCUAAAGAAAUCUGACCAAGGGCACAAUACAACAUCCUUACAAUUAUUUUGAAUAUUUGACCUUAGAUCAGACACACAACAAGUGUACGUAUGCUAAUAUACUUUUAUAUGUGGAAUUGGGUUGCUGCCUCUUUUAGAUAUCCUUAUUAUAUUUACUGCAAAUGAUAUGAAAAAAAACAAAGUAAAGUCAAUGUAUUAAUCGAAACAGAUUUAACCAUCAUCGUUUUUUAUAUACAUUAAAGCAUGAUAUAAAUUAUAACAAGAGUAGACCAAAUAAUACUAGAAAAACGUUUUUGAAAAGCGAUUAAAAAAUACAAGCAAUGAAAGUAUAGCAUUGAAGAUAUAAAAUGUAAAAUCUAUCAAAUCCAAUAACGAGUUGACCACGACCUACUGAUUUUUGAAUAUCGAAAUAAAUCUCGUUAUUAGCAUAAAACAACACACAUAACUAUUUUUUCUUCAUAAGUUUUUGAACAAACCAAAAGUAUAAUUGUUUCUUUUAUUAAUUGUGACCAGGAUGGAGAGUUGUCUCAUUGGCACUCAUACCACAUCUUCUUAUAUCUAUGUUAAUUAAAUAAACCAUCACAUGCCUUUGAUUUAAUGUAAACUGUCAUAUAAUUUCACCAUUGAAUUGUUUUGACUCCCUUAAAAAUAUAAGAAAAAAAAAAAAAAUUUUCCACAUGUCUGAAUGAUAAGGUAAUAAAUACCGUAAAACAAACCGGGUGGUAGGGUGGGUGACAUUUGUGAUCCUUAGAUUACCAUACUCGUGGAAUAUAUAAGGUUAUAAAUUAUAGCAUAUCUUUAAUAUUUUUGUUUUUAUCUUGACCUGUCCCUAGCCCCUUUGGACUUAAGAAUGAUUGAUGGUAUUUAACUCUUACUGGGAGGUCAGUGCGAAAGGAAAAUGGAUAUCUGCUUGUCAUUAAGAGUCAAUAUGAGGUUUGAUUUAAUCGAUUAAUAUAAUUCUAUUGUAAUAUUGGGUUGAUCAACGUAUAAAUACUCUGCUUCGUAGAUUAAAGAUACAUUUUGCU
rnacentral:lncRNA from 1 species